rnacentral:rRNA from 1 species
CCUAGGGAGGCUGCAGUGAGGAAUAUUUGGCAAUGGGCGAGAGCCUGAACCAGCCAAGGUGCGUGAAGGAUGACGGGCCUACGGGUUUUAAACUCCCUUUGUCAGGGAGGAAAAGGGUCCACGCGGUGGCUUAGUGAGAGUACCCAAAGAAAAAGCAUCGGCUAACUCCGUGCCAGCAGCCGCGGUAAUACGGAGGAUGCGAGCGUUAUCCGGAUUUAUUGGGUUUAAAGGGUGCGCAGGCGGAAUAUCAAGUCAGCGGUAAAAAUGCGGGGCUCAACCCCGUAGUGCCGUUGAAACUGAUGUUCUUGAGUGCGCGAGAAGUAUGCGGAAUGCGUGGUGUAGCGGUGAAAUGCAUAGAUAUCACGCAGAACUCCGAUUGCGAAGGCAGCAUACCGGCGCCCAACUGACGCUGAAGCACGAAAGCGUGGGUAUCGAACAGGAUUAGAUACCCGUGUAGUC